GCAACUCGUUUCAAAUAGACGUCUGAAACGGAAAACUAAUAACUUCUCUUUCGUACAUGUGUGAUUUUUUUAAACGCUAGUGAGAAAAAUUUUUUUUCUAUAUAUACUAAAGUUAACACACAGAGAAGAAGUAGCAAAAAUUAUAUGUAUAACAUAGAGAAAACAGAGGAAAGAAAAAAGCUCUGGUGAAAAAUUUUUAUUUUAAUUUUAAACCCAAAUUCACAAAAUCAUUUUGAAAAAUACAGAACAAAGUGAUGUGAAUACACAAAGGAAAUAAAUUACGUAGUUUUGUAAUAUCACCCCCCAAUUUAAAUAACAAAAAAAAGUGAUAAGCAAAAUUCCAUUGAAAGGCAAUUACAUACCAAAAAAAAAAAAAGAAGAAGAAAAGUGAAAAAAUACAAGACCAAAAAAUUUCCAUUCAAAAUUCGAUAAAUUUCUCAACUCAAAUCGUCUGUGAAGUGUAUCUUCAAGAUUGUGGUGUUGUUGGGCCAGAGAAAAAAAGAUUUUUUCUAUUUCAGUGGUGAAGAAUACCACUAUCUAAAUUAAAUUCUAUACCCAGAAGGUAGUUUUAGGAAUCCUAUUGAACUCAACUCAA